UUUGUGGAAUGUAAAUCUUUUAUUAAAACAGCUGUCUUUCCACAGUAGUAAAGCUUUGGCACAUACAGUAUAAAAAAUAAUCACCCACCAUAAUUAUACCAAAUUCCUCUUAUCAACUGCAUACUAAGUGUUCUCAAUACAAUUUUUUCCGUAUAAAAAUAUUGGGAAAAAUUGAUAAAUAACAGGUAAGAGAAAGAUAUGCUUGUUCCUACAGUAUUGCGGGCCAGACACUUAAGUGAAAGCAGAAGUGUUUGGGUGACUUUCCUACUUAAAAUUUUAGUCAUAUCAUUUCAAAACAUUUGCAUCUUGGUUGGCUGCAUAUGCUUUCCUAUUGAUCCCAAACGAAAUCACAAG
rnacentral:lncRNA from 1 species